AACCAGUUCUCAAGAAUGUGGAUCUCAGGUGGAGGAGAAGUUCAAAACACCUCUGUUCAUCCAUGCUGCAGGACACACAUAGCCAAGCCCUGUUAAGCUGAACCCAAGGAAAAGCAGUGUCACCAGUAAGCAGUUUGAUUACAUUGAUUAUGUCCAGGAAGAAUCUUGAGAAUCUUUUAAGAAUUGAGAGGGGAGCAGAUGUCUGCAGGCCAGUGCUGGUGGCUCCAGAGCUGGCUGAAGCCAUGAGAGGGCUGCAAGCAGGGCAACUCAAACUCACAGCAUCAGUGUAAGGCUGCAGUGUGUGUGGCAAAGUACACCCCAUGCCCUUCAUCUGCCCUGAACAGGAGGUAGGACACUUACCAAGUGCGUUUUUUGAUCUUCAGU
ensembl:lncRNA